CUUCCUGUUAUUUAUAAUCUCUGAAAGCAAAAGAAAAAUAUCAGUCUGCUUACUCAGUGGAGCAACAAACAAUGGAUCCCAAAGGCCAGCGAGUGAAGCUUAAUGAUGGCCACUUCAUUCCCGUCCUGGGAUUUGGAACCUUUGCACCUCCAGAGGUUCCUAAGAGUGAAGCUCUGGAAGUCACCAAAUUUGCUAUAGAGGUUGGGUUCCGCCAUAUUGACAGUGCUCAUUUGUACCAAAAUGAAGAGCAGGUUGGCCAGGCCAUUCGAAGCAAGAUUGCCGAUGGCACUGUGAAGAGAGAAGAUGUAUUCUACACUUCAAAGCUUUGGUCCACUUCUCUUCGUCCAGAAUUGGUCAGACCAGCCUUGGAAAAGUCACUGAAUAAUCUUCAACUGGACUAUGUCGAUCUCUAUAUUAUUCAUUUUCCAGUGGCUCUGAAGCCAGGAGAGGCACUUUUCCCAAAAGAUGAAAAUGGAAAACCAAUAUUUGACUCAGUGGAUCUCUGUCGCACGUGGGAGGCCCUGGAGAAGUGUAAGGAUGCGGGGCUGACCAAGUCCAUCGGAGUGUCCAACUUCAACCACAAGCAGCUGGAGAAGAUCCUGAACAAGCCAGGGCUCAAGUAUAAGCCCGUCUGCAACCAGGUGGAAUGUCACCCUUAUCUCAAUCAGAGCAAACUGUUGGAUUUCUGCAAGUCACAUGAUAUUGUUCUUGUUGCCUAUGGUGCUCUGGGAUCCCAAAGAAUAAAAGAAUGGGUAAACCCAAACCUCCCCUUUCUCUUGGAGGACCCAGUUCUCUCUGCCAUCGCCAAAAAGCACAAGCAAACCCCAGCUGUGGUUGCCCUUCGCUACCAGAUACAACGUGGGGUUGUGGUUCUGGCCAAGAGUUACAACAAGAAGCGGAUCAAAGAGAACAUACAGGUGUUUGACUUUGAACUGACUCCAGAAGACAUGAAAGCAAUCGAUGGCCUCAACAGGAGCAUAAGAUAUAAUGAGCUACUACUGGGUGUUGGUCACCCUGAGUAUCCAUUUUUUGAAGAAUAUUGACUGUGAGCUGUAUACGUGCAUUAUACCAGAACGACUUGCUUCUAGGGCUGUGAAGAGGAUUUCUGUACUUGGUAGAGGUGCUUAAAAAAAGUGUCUUCCAUUUCAAAAACUUGCCUUUCCUUUAUUAAAAAACAUUUUAUGAAAUAGUGAAGUCUUGAAAGUAUUGAUUCUUGU
rnacentral:lncRNA from 1 species